rnacentral:tRNA from 1 species
GGAGUUAUAGUCAAAAAUGACAUUUGAUUUGCACUCAAAAGGUGCUCCAUUAAGGAGCUAACUUCA